GGGCUGGAACCUCUCGGGGUUACAGCCUUGCUGAAUUAUUCACCCUUGUCUUUUGCGUACUUCUUGUUUCCUUGGUGGGUUCGCCCACCACUAGGACAAACAUAAACCUUUUGUAAUUGCAAUCAGCGUCAGUAACAAAUUAAUAAUUACAACUUUCAACAACGGAUCUCUUGGUUCUGGCAUCGAUGAAGAACGCAGCGAAAUGCGAUAAGUAGUGUGAAUUGCAGAAUUCAGUGAAUCAUCGAAUCUUUGAACGCACAUUGCGCCCUUUGGUAUUCCAAAGGGCAUGCCUGUUCGAGCGUCAUUUGUACCCUCAAGCUUUGCUUGGUGUUGGGCGUCUUGUCUCUAGCUUUGCUGGAGACUCGCCUUAAAGUAAUUGGCAGCCGGCCUACUGGUUUCGGAGCGCAGCACAAGUCGCACUCUCUAUCAGCAAAGGUCUAGCAUCCAUUAAGCCUUUUUUUCAACUUUUGACCUCGGAUCAGGUAGGGAUACCCGCUGAACUUAAGCAUAUCAAUAGCGGAGGAA
rnacentral:rRNA from 1 species